UAGAAGAAAACAGCUUUACUGAGGUGGC
rnacentral:piRNA from 1 species